rnacentral:rRNA from 1 species
UACGUAGGGGGCAAGCGUUGUCCGGAUUUAUUGGGCGUAAAGAGCGUGUAGGCGGCCUGACAGGUCUGCUGUGAAAACUCGAGGCUCAACCUCGAGAUGUCGGCGGAAACCGUCUGGCUAGAGUCCGGAAGAGGAGAGUGGAAUUCCUGGUGUAGCGGUGAAAUGCGCAGAUAUCAGGAGGAACACCGGUGGCGAAGGCGGCGACCUGGGUCGAUACUGACGCUGAUGCGCGAAAGCGUGGGGAGCAAACAGG